AACGAACGCUGGCGGCAUGCCUAACACAUGCAAGUCGAACGAUGCCUUCGGGCAUAGUGGCGCACGGGUGCGUAACGCGUGGGAAUCUGCCUUUCGGUUCGGAAUAACUCAGGGAAACUUGAGCUAAUACCGGAUAACGUCGCAAGACCAAAGAUUUAUCACCGAAAGAUGAGCCCGCGUAGGAUUAGCUAGUUGGUGAGGUAAAGGCUCACCAAGGCGACGAUCCUUAGCUGGUCUGAGAGGAUGAUCAGCCACACUGGGACUGAGACACGGCCCAGACUCCUACGGGAGGCAGCAGUGGGGAAUAUUGGACAAUGGGCGAAAGCCUGAUCCAGCAAUGCCGCGUGAGUGAUGAAGGCCUUAGGGUUGUAAAGCUCUUUUACCCGGGAAGAUAAUGGCGGUACCGGGAGAAUAAGCCCCGGCUAACUCCGUG
rnacentral:rRNA from 1 species